UCACAUUUUUGUAUAAUGUUCAAUAUCUUCUCUUCCUAUCAACAGAUUUUCUUGAUUUUGGUCUUAAAAUCUUUGGAUUAUUGUUCUGCACCGAUGAAAAUUGGUGGGAAAUUAGGAAAAUAUUCCAGUUUUUUUACUGAGACACUCUCAUUGUUCUUAAUCAAAAACCCUUUCCUUAGAGCCAAUUUCCAUGAAAAUCGGUUAAAAAUGACGGAUAUUGUGGCACUUUCUUCUUUAUUUCAUCUUAAAAAAACCAUCCCAAUCGGCCUUUUUCAUUAUAUUACCCAAUACCACAUUUUAAUCCCCAUUUCCAAAUUUGUGAUAUCUCGUGAUCACAAUAGGGCAUCCGUCUAAUCCUCAGUGACCUUGAACUUCGAAUUUACUCCACAUCAGCAAUUCCUUUGACAGGUGUCGAAACAAGAACUCGACGCGCAUGCCCCUCGGUCUUACCAGUGAGGCAAAUGGUCGCUGGAAUUAGGGGGGAGCUCCCGGAAAAUCGUCCAGGAAAUCGGGAAAAGUGGGAAUUAAUCAUAAAAAACGUGUGAAAAGUGUUCUCUAAACCGCGAGGUUCAUUUUGAUGUAAUUUUCAAUAGUGUGCACCCGUUUUUUCGAUGGUAAAUCGUCAGAUAUAAGCAAGUAGGCUCCCUCUCGGGUGGUAAUCAGUGCCCAGAGGAGAGGACAUAAGAAAAAGACGAGAAGAAGCCUCUUAGAGGCUAUAGAGAUAUAAGCAAGUAGACUCCCUCUCGGGUGGUAAUCAGUGCCCAGAGGAGAGGACAUAAGAAAAAGACGAGAAGAAGCCUCUUAGAGGCUAUAGAGAACAGUGGGGGGGGCUCCCCUUCCCUUGCCCGGAACAGUGCCAACAAAAGAAGUCAGGAAAUGCCUCUCCGAGGCCAGAGGCAUAAAGUGCAGUGUAGUGUAUAUAGAGACAUAUAGUGCCAAAACAAAAGAGGGUGUAGCAGAUCUAGUUGGCGAUAUAGUCCCGACCCGAGGGUGGUGCUUCUGGACAAGGUCUCCACAGGUGCCCACCGGCGAUCGGUCCGGUGUCGUCCCUUUGGGGGGGUCAGAGGGGCACCAGUGCCCCUCAUAAACCCCUCUAAAAGGUCGUCAAGGGGUCGUACCGACGGUGGGUGCAAUAGGAUGUAAAGACUGGGUCUCGUGCAUCACCAAUUCGUGCUCGGCGGUUGUGCCACUGCCUGUUUUGAUUUUUUAUUUUUUCGUUCUCUUUUUAUUUUCUCCUUCCCCCCCGUGGUCUAAACCGCCCAUUGGGGGUGCGUGUCCACCUGAGGGACACGGGACAGAAGAGGACCUAAGAAGUAGACGAUAAGGCGGUGGAAUAUACCUUGAAAAGGUAUCUACUAGAGUUCGUUCAAGUAAGGCCGUUCAUUACUAAGCAUGACAGUUUGAAAAUCGCAAAAUUCUGUUAGAUCUACAUUCAGUGUCGCACCAUAUUUUGUGGUGUGUCACUGGAUUUAGAUUUUGAUGAAUUUUUAAUGCAAAGCCAGGCAUUUGUUUGACUUUGACCCCAGGUUCAAUGUCAGAUCUAUUGCUGACCUUGAAUUCUCUCUCGGUUGUUCUCUCUUAAAAAAAGAUUUUCAAACUUAAAAGAUUAAGAGUCCUUCAGACUCAAAGAGAAAAGUCGCCCGAAAGACUUAAAGAGAAAAGUCACUUUGACUUUGAAAGAAAAAGGUAGAAACACGCAUGUACACUUGCCCUCCUUGUCGUUGACCUUGAUGAGCAGCCUCCCCCGGGACACCCUGUAAAAGUCCACCCCGUCACUUUCUCUUUCAGGUGUCCCUUUUUACACACUCACAAACACACGGGGGUUAAAACGUGAGAAAAAUCCGGGUUGUUUUCUCGCGGUUUGCCCUCUAUAGGUUAAGCUUUUGUAUUGUUAUGCAUGUUGUACACACACACAUUUCCAUGCUUAGGGGUGCCAAUCUCCCCCUAAGUUAUGUCCGGAGGUGCUAAAUUUUCCUCUGGAGCGUCACCAAGAAGGUCUCUCUUGUUUUUCUUUUAUAUCACCUCCUUUCAGUCCCUUAUUUAUCAGCAUAAGUUUUUAUGGUGGUAAUUUAACACUGAAGGGCCAUCAUCAGUUUAAAUUAAUCUUAAAUUCAAUUAUUUUCAAAUAUCUUUAUCCCCUUUAGUCCCUUGGUCUUCAGCAUAAGGUUUUAUGGUGAUCAUUCAAUACUAAGGGGUGAUUUUCAUGCUUUUUGGUGACGUCGUUGAUGGGGGAAGGAGUGAUGUCUUUUAGGAACUGGAGUGCCAAAAAUCCUCCAUCGUUGCCGGGAGUCCGGAGCCCUUCAGGUCGGACUCCGUUUGCGUUUGGUUGUUCGUAAGGGUUCAUACGCUGUCAAUUAUUAAUUAUAAAAGUCAUUUGUUUAAUUUAAAAGUAAAGAGAAUUAUGUGGGAAAGAUCCAUCCAUCCAAACACACAUUUACUAAUCAUAUAAUUUCUUUCAGCUUUUUAUUGUCGUCGGAGACCCAAGGACAUGUACCUCUCUUUCAGGUUUUCUCUUUCAGGUCCACAGGAGGUUCCAAUCGAGGAUCGAGGUUCCUUCAGUUCUGUCUGAGAGCCACUGAUUUGGCAAUAUCUUCCUUUCAAUCUCUUCUAUUCGUAGAACCAUUCAUUGCUGUACCUCUGGUACUUAUUUUGGGAACAUUGUGUGUGUUAUUGUCGUUGGAAAAGCUUUUUCCAUAAUUCUUCCACAUAAUGGAGUCUCCUCUGGAGCUCCAUCGUUGUCCACCAAUCCACUUCUUUACUCUUGUUGGUAACUCCCGCAUUUCCUCGUUUGUGGAGUGUGAUCCGCUGGAUCCGUCGCCAGCGUCGAUCUCCCACACUCACGAUCGGUUUUCUUGAUGAUGGAGAUCCGUCGAAACCCGUUCGCCGACCGACGUCAAUCUCCCCCUUCUAAGAUCCGCUGAAAUCCGUCGAUCAGCGUCGUGAUCUUCGUCGAUCUCGUUCGGACGCCGUCGUGGUGAAGAUCCGCCGGAAACGACGUCCGGCGUCGAUCUUCGUUUCUUUUCGUGUUUAGCCGGUCGCCAUCGGGUGUGAUCGCGAAGUGUCAAGUGUGUGCGUCGGGUGUGUUCGGUUUCGGUCGGGUCGCGGUCGUCGUCCUUGUCCGUCGGUUUUUUCGGAUUUCUUGGGAGUCUUGUAUUGUAUUUUAUUGUUGUUUCGUGUUUGGGUGGAAUUAAUUUAUUAAAAAAAUCUAUUAAAGUUUCUGUUUUUCAAAAAAAUAAUUAAAAAAUUGUAUUUUUGUUUUGUUGCAUACGUGUACGAGAAAACCAAUGGGAAAAUGAACCUUUAGGAAGCCAAAUUGCAAACCAUUUUUUAGUAGUUAAGUUAGAGGGUGUUCCUGAGGAGUCUGAGGUGGAAAUGCCUCUUUGAAUCAGGAAUUUCUU